AGAGUUUGAUCCUGGCUCAGCCUGAACGCUGGCGGCGUGGCUAAGACAUGCAAGUCGUACGGACGUAGCAAUACGUCAGUGGCGAACGGGUGAGUAAUGUAUCGCUAACGUACCCCUCAAUCCGGGAUAGCUGGGGGAAACUCCAGGUAAUACCGGGUGAAAUUCUUUUGUCGCAUGGCGAGAGACUCAAAGGGAAACCGUUGAGGGAGCGGGCGAUAUCGUAUCAGCUAGUUGGUGAGGUAACGGCUCACCAAGGCAAUGACGCGUAGCCGGACUGAGAGGUCGGUCGGCCACAUUGGGACUGAGACACUGCCCAGACUCCUACGGGGGGCUGCAGUAACGAAUCUUCCGCAAUGCACGCAAGUGUGACGGAGCGACGCCGCGUGUGGGACGAAGUCCUUCGGGAUGUAAACCACUGUCAGGGGUUACCAAGUUCUGAGGAACCCCAGAGGAAGGCACGGCUAACUCUGUGCCAGCAGCCGCGGUAAGACAGAGGUGCCGAGCGUUAGGCGGAAUCACUGGGCUUAAAGCGUGUGUAGGCGGGCCGUUAAGUGUCUUGUGAAAUCCCCCGGCUCAACCGGGGAAUUGCUGGGCAUACUGGCGGUCUUGAGCAGUCUAGGGGCAGAUGGAACAAGUGGUGGAGCGGUGAAAUGCGUAGAUAUCACUUGGAACGCCAAUGGUGAAGACAGUCUGCUGGGGACUUGCUGACGCUGAGACACGAAAGCCAGGGGAGCGAACGGGAUUAGAUACCCUAGUAGUCC
rnacentral:rRNA from 1 species